GGGCAACAGAGAGGGGCGAACGGGAGAGAAACACGGAGGCCACCCACCCACAAGACGGGGACAACCCAGGGAAACGGGGGCAAACACCGGAAGAAAGCAACCGGGAGGGAGAAAAAAAGAGGGCAAAAAGCCGCCGCGGGGGGAAGAGCCCGCGCCCCCUAAGAAAGGGGGAGAGGAAACGGCCCCCCAAGGCAAAGAGAGGGAGGCGGCCAGAACGGGGGGCCGCCCACACGGGGAAAGAGAAACGGCCCACACCCCGACGGGAGGCAGCAGACGAGAAGAGACAACAAGGGCCGAAAGGCAGAGAGGGCGACGCCGCGAGAACGAGGAACCCCGGCGGGGAGAAAAGCCCAAAAAGAAGAGAGCAGCGCCGGCAAAAAAAAGAGAAGAGNAGGAGAGAAACCAGCAAAAGAAAAAGCAACGGCAAACUCCGUGCCAGCAGCCGCGGUAACACGGGGGGUUGCAAGCGUUGUCCGGAAUUACUAGGCGUAAAGGGCAGGCAGGCGGACCUGCAAGUUUUCUGUUAAAGACGUCAGCUCAACUGGCGCACGGCAGGAGAUACUGCAGGUCUUGAAUGCGGUUGGGGAAGACAGAAUUCCUGGUGUAGCGGUGGAAUGCGCAGAGAUCAGGAGGAAUACCAAAGGCGAAGGCAGUCUUCCAAGCCGUUAUUGACGCUGAACUGCGAAGGUGUGGGUAUCAAACAGGAUUAGAUACCCUGGUAGCCCACACAGUAAACGAUAAUCACUAGGUGUCGGUUUCGUAUAGGAUUCGGUGCCGUAGCUAACGCGUUAAGUGAUUCGCCUGGGGAGUACGAUCGCAAGGUUGAAACUCAAAGGAAUUGACGGGGGCCCGCACAAGCGGUGGAGCAUGUGGUUUAAUUCGAGGCAACGCGAAGAACCUUACCCGGUUUUGACAUCUGUGGUAACCUGCAGAGAUGUGGGUGUGCCGGUUUACCGGAGCCACAAGACAGGUGCUGCAUGGCUGUCGUCAGCUCGUGUCGUGAGAUGUUGGGUUAAGUCCCGCAACGAGCGCAACUCUUAUCGCUAUUUGCCAUCAUUAAGUUGGGGACUAUAGCGAGACUGCCAGUGACAAACUGGAGGAAGGUGGGAAUGACGUCAAAUCAUCAUGCCCCUUAUGGUCUGGGCUACAAACGUGAUACAAUGGUUGGUACAAAGGGAGGCGAAGCCGUGAGGCCAAGCGAACCCCAUAAAACCAAUCUCAGUUCGGAUUGAAGUCUGCAACUCGACUUCAUGAAGUCGGAAUCGCUAGUAAUCGUAGAUCAGAACGCUACGGUGAAUACGUUCUCGAGGUUUGCACUCACCGCCCGUCA
rnacentral:rRNA from 1 species